UGCUGAGCCAUCCAGGGAUUCCCAGAGUCAGCAUUUUCAAAGCUCCCCACUCGAUACCAACGUAUAGCCAGUGGUGAAAACCUUUGCAGUCAGACACAUGUAGGUUCAAUUCCUGCCUCUGCUUCCAUGCUGGGUGAACUUGGACUUGCUGGGCAACCCUUCGGAGCCUUGGUCUCCUUCUCCUUCCAUUGGGAAUGAUACUCUUGUCACGGGCUAAAGGGAUUAAAUCAUAAUUUGAGCAAAUUAUCUAGUACUUAGAGCUAAAAAAAAAAAGAGAGAGAAAGCAAGCAAGCAAGUGCAAUGGAAACAAUCAUGCUCACAGCAAUAUCAACCUUGCAUAGUGGAAGGGAACACUUUGAUUUGGGCCUUGAAAGGAGCGUGUUGAACAGAUGCUUCUGGAGCAGAGCUCAGAGGCUGAGAGCCAUUGAGCUCAAGUCCCUUCUCAGCGUGACUUGCUUUGUAUCUCCCUCCAUGGAAAGAUCCGAAACGCAAGCCAUUAUUGUUGACAUGGGCAAGUCAUUGGGGUCUGUGUGGGAUUUCUGUUUGGAAAACCAGCAAAUCCUGCAGGGUUGGACUCACCAAUGUUUCUGCAGGCUGUGGCUGUGGCUGUGACAACUGAUCAGAACCCCCAGUGCCCCUGGGCCGCAGGAUGCAGAUGGACCCGAGGCACAGAGCAGUCAAGUCAUUUGUCCCAACUCACACAGCUGGCAAGUGGCUGAGGCAAACAGGCCGGCUGGCUUCCUGGAGCUUCCAAGGGCUCCACCGUGCUGGGUUGUUAUCGCUGUGUUACCUAACGUAUUCUUCCGACUGCACGUACACAGUUAUUGAGGACCUACUGUAUACCUUGUUCUGGAUGCAAAGGAGGCAGAGGUAUUUUGUUCUAUUUUGUGGCCAACCCCAACUUGCCUUGGUUAAGUCAAAAGGAGGAAGAAAUCUGUGGCUGGCAUUUGACCCAGGAAACGGAGGGAGCCUGUGUGAAUGAGGAAGGAGGGAGUCCAAGAUGGGAUGGGGCUCCAUGAGGCAGGGGAACUCACAUUUACAGUGGGCCAGGCACUCAGCACCAUGCUCUUGGGUGGGUACCACCUGUCCCCAUUGUACGGAUGAGGAGAUGGAGGCAGAGGGGCCGGUUAGCUGUAGAAUCGGGUCUGGCUUCUGGCUGCAUGGGACUCCUGGUCCAGUGCUCUUUGCAGGGCCUGAGAGUGCCUGUGGGCCUGGAGGCUUUCCUGUAGCCCUCCACAGGUGGUCCUCGGAAGCCCUGACCAGGUGCACAGCCCUCUCAGAGAGACCCUCUCCAGGCAUGUGUCAAGACUGACUUAGGAGCCUCAUCCAGGCCCCCUGCAAAUAGCACGGGCUUCCAAGACCCUCCUGCACAGUGGCAGUGGGGGCGCUUCUCAGGAACACUGGGGCUGCAGCCAGGGAGACCUGAGUUUGAGUCCUGACCCCACCACAUGCUGCCUGUCAUGAAUGCGAGCACAUCCUUCAUCCCUUCUGGGUCUCAGAUUCAUGUUCUUUGAAAUGGGGGCACGAGGCCUGCUGGGGAGGAAGGCUGUGUGUCUGUCCCUCUUUCUGACCAUCACUCGCGGACUCCAGGCUCAAGGACACUGACAGAUCAGCAAGUGACCUACACAGCAGAGCCCCAGGGCCGUGUUCUGUGCUGGGUGAAGUGGGCACCCUGCUCUUAAGGAACCCCUAGUCCCAAAGGGGAGGGGAGCUACUCCUACCCGGUGUAAGGGCGUAGGUGGAUAUUCCAGAGAAUCUAAGGGGGAAGGCAGGUUACACUUAUCCAUUCCACGAGGGGGGGCACACACCCCCAUUUGUCCCAAGGGGAGACUCAUGUGCUGCCUCACCCGGAGGGGGACAGAACAGAUGCCCGAGUCAGUCUAAGGAGGGAGGCAAACACUCCACGCAUCCUGGGGGUGGGCACACCCGGAAUCACAAGGCAGUGGAAGUCUAGUGUUCCCACAGUGGCUCAGAGAACAGGACCCACGCAUCCUCUAUCAUUUGACUAUUUCUAAAGCACCUACCAUGUGCCUGGACGUGUGCCGGGUGCUAGAUAAAGAGGUGGGCUGCAGCCUUUGAGGGGAGUGCAGUGCUUUGGAAAUAGUGAUGUGAGAGGCUAGGCUUCUCUCCAGGGUCCAGAAUGCAGAGGAGGGUGCAAACCCCUGAUACCUCCUCAGGGGGCCACAGAGGUCAGCAAACCAGAGCCUGGGAAUUCCCCCUUUAAGCCUUUUCUUCCCACGAUGCUCCCCAGGACAGGACACCUUACAGUCCUCUGCUAUGUCACAUCGUACCACAUCGCCUGUCUUUUCCUUUUCGGACACCAGACACUGAGAAGUUUGUCUCAAUGAUCUAUGGAUGCAUCAAAACCAUCCCCAAACUCAGAGGCUGAAAAUAGCAACCACUUCAUUAGCUCUGCCAUCUGAUCUGGGUGCAGCUGGGCCCUGCCGCGGUUUUGUUUGGGCUCACUCGGCAGCUGCAGACACCUUGGGGCCGGCUGCUGGAAGAUGACAUUGCUUAGGUCUGGCAGUGUGGCUGUGGCCUGAGCCACACGCCUCCAGGAGGCUCGCCUGGGCUCCUCUAACCGAUCCAGCUGUUCAUGUCACCUGCGGUCAGAGAGGCAGGAUGGUCCUCGGAAGCCCCAUUUGGCAGAAGUGAAAGCUGAGGCUCAGAGAGCUGUGGUGGGAGAGCUGGAAGGUGCCUCUGGCUCCUGUGUUUACGCCCCUCGCUGUGCAGCCUCCCUGUGACGUGGGGAGCGGGGGCUCCACGGGGAGGCAGGUGCCGGCUCUGCCCCACGGCGCUCGGCGCUCGCAGUCUGCGGGGAGGAGGAAGGUCCACGUGCAGCUGAGAGGAGAGCUCAGUGGGAGCCAGGGGGCCCCCAACCUGCCAGGGGCAGAGCCAGCUGUCCAGAAGGCGUGAAAUGAAAUAAGGAAAAGGAGGUCAGAGAGGAACGCCCAAGGUCACAGCCAGCCGGCGGCAGGCACCCUGAUCACACCGCAACAGCCUUGUCCAGCACAGCCACAUCUCCGGGGUCACAGGGAUGUGACCCCCGCCCCUGUCAACCAGGGUGCACCUCCUGGGCUUCGGGUCACUAGGCAGCUUGCCGUCCAGUGGGGUGGGACGGCCCAGCCCACCUUCCAGGCCAUCUGCCCUGCCUCCUUGGUGGCAGCGUCUGCGUGCAGCCUGCUGGCCGGUGCAGGGGCCCCACAGCCCUGAAAGGUAACACCUGUCUUAAGCCUCUCAGAGCCUGACAAGGACAGGUAUGGAGGAACUUGACUCCCCUGAAAGGAUUUGGGCCCUUGUCCCGGGGCCCAGCGAGCCCAUGGAAACAUGACCCGCCCCUGUGUGAACAAUGCCUUUCAUUGGAACGUUGAACUGGCCACCAACUCACUGAGUGACUUUGGGCAAGUCAUGUCCUCUCUCUGAACCUGUAAAAUAAAGAUGAAAAUAACAGCUUCGAGGCGCCUGGGUGGCUCAGCUGGUUAAACAGCUGACUCUUGAUUUCGGCUCAGGUCAUGAUCUCAGGGUCCUGGGCUGGAGCCCCGAGUCUGGCUCGGAGCUCCAUGUAGAAUCUGCUUGAGAUUCUCUCUCCCUUCUCCCCUACCCCCCCUCACUCAUGCACGUGUGUGCUCUCUCUCUCUCUCUCUCGAAUGAAUGAAUAAAUAUCUUUGAAAAAAAGAAAUAAAAAGAAAAACAACUGCCUUACGAGGUUUGCAACCCCUGUGUCACUUGACCAUUAUUGCACAUUUUGUCUGGCACAUAGUAAGUAUUACUCUGGACUGGAGAUGCUUUUUUUUUUCUUCAAUAUUGAAAAUCACGAUAAAGUACACCUAACACAAACU